UAAUACUAGUAUAUCCAAUGCUGGUUGCUGCCAGACAAAAAUUAUGAUACUGUACUGUGGCAAAUCAUAAGCAUGUCUGUUCAAAAUUUUAAUGAAAAAAAUGCCAUUUUCCUGUCUUUACUCAAUAUGCUUUUUUUCAUAAUAAAUAGUAAAUAAAUACAUGUAUUAACAUCAUUACAAGGCUUACAUUGUGCCAGUAACAUUACAAUCAGUUCAUAAUAUCUAAUUAAAGCCUAUAUUUAAUAGUCUAACAGUGGCGGAUCCAGCCAUUUAAAAAAAAGGGGGGGGGGUUCCAACUAUAUGCUACCAUUCAAAUGCAUUGAUCGUCCAAAAAACAGGGGGAUUCCAACCCCCAGACACCCCCCCUGGAUCCGCCACUGUCUAAGAAUAAAUUAAAAAAAAUAUGAAUCAGAUGAAUCAGAUAAAUCCCAAAAUAAGCUAACAGAUGUAUUGCUAUUCAUUUGUAUAUAAGGUCGAAAUUAAUUAUGCCAUACAGCAUUGUACAGCUCACAUUUUGAUUUUUUUUAAACACAAAAAAUAGCCUUACCUAAUAAAAUAUUCCAGUCAUAAAAUUUAUGAAUAAAACACUUCAAUUCAAAACAUCUUCGUAUAGGACUGUGAGUGAGACUGACAAUGAGGUUUACAAUUGGUAUUUAAUAGUUUUUAUAAAUACAGCCCCCCUCAAGUUGAAGAUUUAAGGUUAAAAUUAAUUAGUAAAAUAACUUUCUAAUAUUUCAAACUGAUAUUUGACAGAACUAAGUGUUUAAACUUAUUUAACUUAUAAUUUAAUUUUAAGAGACCAUUAAGGACAUUAUCUAGUCUCCCUUACAAACAUAAUUAUUGAUAGACCAAGAAGCUGGGACUAGAACUUUUUAAGCUUUUACAACAUGUUUAAAAAUACCAUUGAAAGCCAACUUUCUAAAUAAAAGUAAUUGUAUUUUCACAAUUUGGUUCAUUUAGUAAUUUCAGACAAUAAAUGUGAUCAAAGAAGCCAAGUAUGUUUUUUUUUACAAAAACAAUUAAAUUCCAGUAAUUCUUUUUUUUUACAAAAACAAUUAAAUUCCAGUAAUUCUUUUUUUUUUUACAAAAAC
rnacentral:lncRNA from 1 species